GGCUCAGGAUGAACGCUAGCUACAGGCUUAACACAUGCAAGUCGAGGGGCAGCAUGGUCUUAGCUUGCUAAGGCCGAUGGCGACCGGCGCACGGGUGAGUAACACGUAUCCAACCUGCCGUCUACUCUUGGACAGCCUUCUGAAAGGAAGAUUAAUACAAGAUGGCAUCAUGAGUCCGCAUGUUCACAUGAUUAAAGGUAUUCCGGUAGACGAUGGGGAUGCGUUCCAUUAGAUAGUAGGCGGGGUAACGGCCCACCUAGUCUUCGAUGGAUAGGGGUUCUGAGAGGAAGGUCCCCCACAUUGGAACUGAGACACGGUCCAAACUCCUACGGGAGGCAGCAGUGAGGAAUAUUGGUCAAUGGGCGAGAGCCUGAACCAGCCAAGUAGCGUGAAGGAUGACUGCCCUAUGGGUUGUAAACUUCUUUUAUAAAGGAAUAAAGUCGGGUAUGGAUACCCGUUUGCAUGUACUUUAUGAAUAAGGAUCGGCUAACUCCGUGCCAGCAGCCGCGGUAAUACGGAGGAUCCGAGCGUUAUCCGGAUUUAUUGGGUUUAAAGGGAGCGUAGAUGGAUGUUUAAGUCAGUUGUGAAAGUUUGCGGCUCAACCGUAAAAUUGCAGUUGAUACUGGAUAUCUUGAGUGCAGUUGAGGCAGGCGGAAUUCGUGGUGUAGCGGUGAAAUGCUUAGAUAUCACGAAGAACUCCGAUUGCGAAGGCAGCCUGCUAAGCUGCAACUGACAUUGAGGCUCGAAAGUGUGGGUAUCAAACAGGAUUAGAUACCCUGGUAGUCCACACGGUAAACGAUGAAUACUCGCUGUUUGCGAUAUACAGCAAGCGGCCAAGCGAAAGCGUUAAGUAUUCCACCUGGGGAGUACGCCGGCAACGGUGAAACUCAAAGGAAUUGACG
rnacentral:rRNA from 1 species